CAAAGCAACUUGGUACCUAAUU
rnacentral:miRNA from 1 species